UAUUCAACGUGGAUGAGGCACACGCUUGUGAGUCUGAGACUGGAUGAAGGGCAAACAUUUGACUGUGAGUCUGAGACUUGAUGAAGGGUAAGUUUUGCAUUUAUGUACUAAAUAAAGAAUAUAAACCAUAUCUUAUUAAGAUAA